AUAAGUUUCACCAAUAUAAAACAUAAAAAAAUCAUAAAUGAAUCAAAAUAAUAUCUUCAAAAAUUAAAUAUAUAUAAAAUAACUUUAAAAAAACCUCUCUAUCCAAAAAAAAAAAAGAAGCUAAAUAAGCAAAAUAAAAAAUCAUAGAGGAGAGAUUAAAACAUAAAUUAAAAAAUAAUUUAAAAAUAAACAUGAAAAGAAGGCAUCAAUUAAAAUAAAAACCAAAAUCAGAAUAAA
rnacentral:lncRNA from 1 species